GAGCGUAGAGCUUAGUAUGUGGCAGAGCAUAUGCUUAACAUGCAGGAGUUCCUGGGUUCAAUCCCCAGUACCUCCA
rnacentral:tRNA from 1 species